CUUUCAGAGUGGGCAGGGAGACAUACAGAUGAGGAAAUUCACUUCAGCAGGGAAUCUGCUAAGCGUGGCAGGAUUCCUGCUCCGGACUCUCAAAGCCUCCCGUUAAUGGAAACAGCAGGUUAACCUGGUCUGACCAACAGGAAGCCACGUGACCCAAUCUCUGUACCACGGAUGCCUUGAACGUGCAGCUUAGACCUCGAGAGAGACUCGGGGAGACAACUGCCAUUAUCGGAGGGACGAACCCAGUCAUGGAGUGUGCUCCUCAGCCAGGGUCCUCCUGUGCGAAAGCAACAGAAGCAGAAAACUGAGGGUCAUUGUGGCGAGAACAAAGCGGAAACUCAGUCUCCAGGAGAAAAGCAGAUCUGAUGAGCACUCACGGGCUGGGGAGAUGCUCGGUGGGUGAAGUGCCUGCCCUGCAAACAUGGGGACCUGCGUUCAGAUCUCCACCCCGGUGUCAGCAGCCAGCAAGGGGGCUGCAGCUGUAACCCCAGUGCUGGGAUGGGAGCCGAGGCCUGUCCAUCACUAGAGCUCAAUGGCCAGGCAAUCUAACCAAUCUGUGAGCUCAGGGUUUAGUGAGAGAGAGGGAGGAGGGAGACAUAAACCAAAUAAAUAAAUGUAAUUGUAAAUAAAUAAA